rnacentral:rRNA from 1 species
UACGAAGGGGGGCUAGCGUUGCUCGGAAUGACUGGGCGUAAAGGGCGCGUAGGCGGAUGGUACAGUCAGAUGUGAAAUUCCUGGGCUUAACCUGGGGGGCUGCAUUUGAUACGUAUUGUCUAGAGUGAGGAAGAGGGUCGUGGAAUUCCCAGUGUAGAGGUGAAAUUCGUAGAUAUUGGGAAGAACACCGGUGGCGAAGGCGGCGACCUGGUCCUUUACUGACGCUGAGGCGCGAAAGCGUGGGGAGCAAACAGG